ACGGGAGGCAGCAGUGGGGAAUAUUGCACAAUGGGGGGAACCCUGAUGCAGCAACGCCACGUGUGGGAAGAAGCAUUUCGGUGUGUAAACCACUGUCGUGAGGGAAUAAUGCUUGGCUCCGGCCAAGUUGAAUGUACCUCGAAAGGAAGCACCGGCAAACUUCGUGCCAGCAGCCGCGGUAAUACGAGGGGUGCAAGCGUUGUUCGGAAUCACUGGGCGUAAAGGGAGCGUAGGCGGAGACGCAAGCAGUCUGUACAAUACCGGGGCCCAACCCCGGACCUGCAGACUGGGCUGUUUCUCUUGGAUAGCUCAGGGGCUGGCGGAAUUCCUGGUGUAGCGGUGGAAUGCGUAGAGAUCAGGAAGAACACCGAUGGCGAAGGCAGCCAGCUGGGGGCUUAUCGACGCUCAUGCUCGAAAGUGCGGGUAGCAAACAGGAUUAGAUACCCUGGUA
rnacentral:rRNA from 1 species